CACACCGCCCGUCACAUCAUGAAAGCCGUUUGUACCCGAAGUCGCCGUGUUAACCGCAGGGAGACAGGUGCCGAAGGUAUGGAUGGUGAUUGGGAUG
rnacentral:rRNA from 1 species